rnacentral:rRNA from 1 species
AGAGUUUGAUCCUGGCUCAGGACGAACGCUGGCGGCGUGCUUAACACAUGCAAGUCGAACGGUGAAGCCCUUCGGGGUGGAUCAGUGGCGAACGGGUGAGUAACACGUGAGCAACCUACCCCUGACUCUGGGAUAACUCCGGGAAACCGGUGCUAAUACCGGAUACGAGCAGCGGCCUCAUGGUCUGUUGUUGGAAAGAAUUUUGGUUGGGGAUGGGCUCGCGGCCUAUCAGCUUGUUGGUGAGGUAAUGGCUCACCAAGGCGACGACGGGUAGCCGGCCUGAGAGGGCGACCGGCCACACUGGGACUGAGACACGGCCCAGACUCCUACGGGAGGCAGCAGUGGGGAAUAUUGCACAAUGGGCGAAAGCCUGAUGCAGCGACGCCGCGUGAGGGAUGACGGCCUUCGGGUUGUAAACCUCUUUCAGCUCCGAAGAAGCGAAAGUGACGGUAGGAGCAGAAGAAGCACCGGCUAACUACGUGCCAGCAGCCGCGGUAAUACGUAGGGUGCAAGCGUUGUCCGGAAUUAUUGGGCGUAAAGAGCUCGUAGGUGGUUCGUCGCGUCUGCUGUGAAAGUCCGAGGCUUAACCUCGGAUCUGCAGUGGGUACGGGCGGACUAGAGUGCGGUAGAGGAGAUCGGAAUUCCUGGUGUAGCGGUGGAAUGCGCAGAUAUCAGGAGGAACACCGGUGGCGAAGGCGGAUCUCUGGGCCGUAACUGACGCUGAGGAGCGAAAGCAUGGGGAGCGAACAGGCUUAGAUACCCUGGUAGUCCAUGCCGUAAACGUUGGGCGCUAGGUGUGGGGUCCUAUCCACGGGUUCCGUGCCGCAGCUAACGCAUUAAGCGCCCCGCCUGGGGAGUACGGCCGCAAGGCUAAAACUCAAAGGAAUUGACGGGGCCCGCACAA